rnacentral:misc_RNA from 1 species
GAAAUGCGAUAAGUAGUGUGAAUUGCAGAAUUCCGUGAAUCAUCGAAUCUUUGAACGCACAUUGCGCCCUCUGGUAUUCCGGGGGGCAUGCCUGUCCGAGCGUCAUUGCGAACCCCUCAAGCACGGCUUGUGUGAUGGGCCCUCCCGCGUCUUGGUCGUCAAGACGGGCCCGAAAUGCAGUGGCGGCUUCGCGGUUAUCCGAUCAGCCAGAGCGUAUGGGGACUUUCUCUCUGUCACACGCCCGCGGCGCGGACCGACGCCUGUCGACCUUUAUUCAUCUUUUUCUCGGUUGACCUCGGAUCAGGUAGGGAUACCCGCUGAACUUAAGC